rnacentral:tRNA from 1 species
UUAAUUAAAGCCAAAUUUAAGAGGCAUAUCAUUGUUAAUGAUAUCAAUGAAAUAAUAUUUCUAAUUAAA